AGUCGUCAUCAUUUUUUGUUUAAGGUGCAAGUUAAAUGAGUUGAUGGCUGUACUGGAAUGUUUACUUCUACCAGAUCUGAUGUAGCUAAACCAACCAGGAGCAGAUAAUUGAAGAUUUUCAGUGUUUGUUAAUCACUGAUGACAUGCUUUGGAAGUACUCAAAACAAAGGAUUCCCAGGUAUUAGAGGAGCAGCGAGCAAUCUCCCUUUGGAUAUUUAUGAGAAUUUUCUAGCAGAAUAUGAAUUACACUACAAAUUUCUUCCCAACAGAUUAAGAACAACCCAAAAAUGCAACUCAUUUCAAUAAAAG
rnacentral:lncRNA from 1 species